UACAGAGGUCUCAAGCGUUGUUCGGAUUCAUUGGGCGUAAAGGGUGCGUAGGCGGUGCUGUAAGUCGGAUGUGAAAUCUCGGGGCUCAACCCCGAAACUGCAUUCGAUACUGCAGUGCUCGAGGACUGGAGAGGAGAUCGGAAUUCACGGUGUAGCAGUGAAAUGCGUAGAUAUCGUGAGGAAGGCCAGUGGCGAAGGCGGAUCUCUGGACAGUUCCUGACGCUGAGGCACGAAGGCCAGGGGAGCAAACGGG
rnacentral:rRNA from 1 species